AGGAGGAGGCAUCCUGAGUUAGUUUGGUCACAAAUUCUGUAGACUAGUAAGUAAGUACAUUAUAUGAUUUUCUAUUCCUCUUGGAAAUGGGAUUGGCAUAUGCUGAUCAACUGCUAUUGACUUUGUGUGAAGAGAUUCCUCAUUUAAUAACUUUUCUUUGUUUCUGCAUUUUACAUAAAUGAAGAAAUAUGAAAUGUUAAAUCAAAAAAUAGUUUUCCUUAAUAUGUGUUUGUCAUCACUAACCUUGUAAAUCAUUUGCUUCAGGAAAAUGUCAGCUGAAAAAUACUUUUUGUCAUUGCGUUGGCUUAUGGUACCCCUGAAAACUUGUUUUAUUCUUUUCAUUAAGCACAACAACAGAGAAGAAAUGGAAUGUUAGUGAGUUUAUUUUCCUUCUUGCAUUCAUAAUUUUCCAUCUCUAUAAAACAUUAUUCUUAACAUAAUAAAUGAUGACACGAUAAGUUUAUUCUUAAAGAUUGAAGAAAGAAAAGUUCUGAUAUAAAAAUUUGAUAAAGCAUGGACACUAGUCAGAACUAGAAAUUUAACACUAGUUCAGACUAUCAAAAUAUUGAUAGUCAGGUUUUCUCAUGCCUUACAAAAACCAGUUUAAAGGCUGUGAAUCUUUCACUUCUCAAAGUUGGGAUUUCACUUGCUGCACAUCAACAUAUUCGUCUUAUUUUCCUAAGAGUUUUAAUUUGUUCCACACUCUAACCAUAGUUCUUUUAAAAAAAUUCAAGUUGCAGGGUAAUCAAGGGACUCUUGAUAGCGACAUGACUACAACUAUUAACAAAUAGAGGGCUUUUUCUUUGUGUUGCAGUCCAGUGUUGAUGAAUAAAGUUUCCCUAUAUAUACCUACAGGAAACCGUGAAUGGUUCUCUAGAUAUAUAAGGUUGUAUGUGAAUAAGUGUUGUUCUUGUAUUCAUGCAGGAGCAGAUGCAUGUUGCUUUUAAAUUAUGUGAAGGAUGUUUCAUAUAUUUGACCAGAUUUGAAUUGUUUUAAAUUGAGUUUUUUGAAGGAUUUUGUCUGAAUAAAUUUGACAUGAGUUUAUUUGUAGAGAAAGAUGCUCCAUGGAUAAGUUGGAAACUGAGCAUUGCAUCUCUACACAUGUCGUGUAUGGUUGGUUUCUCUGUUAUAAGGUGUUUCAUGAACAAUACCUCAAUCCUCUGUAUCAACCCUCUCCUAUGAUAAAUGCCUUGUGUCUUUACCUCUUUUUGUCUAUCUUAGAAUUUCUAAUAUUUCCAUAGCUUUAAA
rnacentral:lncRNA from 1 species